CCCGUCCCUAGAGGCAUAGCACGUGUGGAUGCUGUGUCUCGGGUGUUUCAGUAUGUGGCAGAGCAGCGAGAGGCUAUGCCUAUGUUCAAUGUUUUGGCCUAUGAACAUCUGAACGAUUAAUACCCUAACAUU